GACGAACGCUGGCGGCGUGCCUAAUACAUGCAAGUAGAACGCUGAAGAGAGGAGCUUGCUCUUCUUGGAUGAGUUGCGAACGGGUGAGUAACGCGUAGGUAACCUGCCUGGUAGCGGGGGAUAACUAUUGGAAACGAUAGCUAAUACCGCAUAAUAGUAGAUGUUGCAUGACAUUUGCUUAAAAGGUGCAAUUGCAUCACUACCAGAUGGACCUGCGUUGUAUUAGCUAGUUGGUAAGGGAACGGCUAACCAAGGCAACGAUACUUACCCGACCUGAGGGGUGAUCGGCCACACUGGGAAUGGGGAAACGCCCAGGAUCCUACGGGGGGCAGCAGGAGGGGAACCUCGGCCAAGGACGGAAGGCUGAACGGGGAACGCCGCGGGAGGGAAGGAGGCUUUCGGGUCGUAAAGCUCUGUUGUAAGGGAAGGACGAGUGGGAGAGUGGAAAGUGCACACCGUGACGGUAUCUAAUCAGAAAGCGACGGCUAACUACGUG
rnacentral:rRNA from 1 species